rnacentral:rRNA from 2 species
UCGAACGCAGUAGCAAUACUGAGUGGCAGACGGGUGAGUAACAUGUGGGAAUCUGCCUUGUGGUUCAGGACAACAUUGGGAAACCGAUGCUAAUACUGGAUAAGCCCUUACGGGGAAAGUUUUAAUGCCAUAAGAUGAGCCCGCAUUUGAUUAGUUAGUUGGUGAGGUAAUGGCUCACCAAGACAAUGAUCAAUAGCUGAUCUGAGAGGAUGAUCAGCCACACUGGGACUGAGACACGGCCCAGACUCC